rnacentral:rRNA from 1 species
GCGUGCCUAACACAUGCAAGUCGAACGAGAAAUUUCCGCUUCGGUGGAAAGAGUAAAGUGGCGCACGGGUGAGUAACGCGUGGGUAACCUGCCUUUGAAUCUGGGAUAACCCCGUGAAAACGGGACUAAUACUGGAUAAUGUCCCUUUGGCUGUGGCCUUAGGGAUGAAAGGUGACCUCUUCAUGAAAGUUGCCGUUCAAAGAGGGGCCCGCGUACCAUUAGCUUGUUGGUGGGGUAACGGCCUACCAAGGCUACGAUGGUUAGCUGGUCUGAGAGGAUGAUCAGCCACACUGGAACUGGAACACGGUCCAGACUCCUACGGGAGGCAGCAGUGAGGAAUUUUGCGCAAUGGGGGAAACCCUGACGCAGCAACGCCGCGUGAGUGAUGAAGAUUUUCGGAUCGUAAAGCUCUGUCAAGCGGGAAAAAAUUCUUUCGGUCAAUAGCCGGAAGAACUGAUGGUACCGCUGGAGGAAGCACCGGCUAACUCCGUGCCAGCAGCCGCGGUAAUACGGAGGGUGCAAGCGUUGUUCGGAUUUACUGGGCGUAAAGAGCGUGUAGGUGGUUUAACAAGUCAGAUGUGAAAGCCCUGGGCUCAACUCAGGAAGUGCAUUUGAAACUGUUUUUCUAGAGUAUGGGAGAGGAGAGUGGAAUUCCCAGUGUAGAGGUGAAAUUCGUAGAUAUUGGGAGGAACACCGG